UCACCACGAGGAGGACUAUAUUAUGGAAGCUGUACGUAGUACCUGCCCGCAGCAGCCGAAUGCUCAUGCCAAGGGCUCCGGCGGUGCUGCUGCUGGGCACACCGUGGCCCCCCACGCCACAACCAAUGUGUGCUGCCAACGUCUCCGGUGAUCUGCUCAGGAUUAUCACGAGGAGGAGGACUUUAUGGCAGCUGGAAGAAGCUGUACGUAGUAGCCUCAUGCUGAUGGCAAGGGUUCCGGCAGUGUUGCCACUGGGGCUGGGCACAAUGUGGCCUCCCAUGCCGCAACCGUGGGGUGGUGGCAACGGCUACACCAUCUCCGAGUUUCUUGCUGCUGCCCGUCCUGAAUAUGGAGCGUGUCUUGUAGGUGAAUAAUGGCCAACAGGUUCAGGACGUCUUCCUCCACCGGACGCGGGGGAAAAGAACGAGUGCAAUGGAUAGGAUUAUCACGACGAGGACUGUAUGGUAGCUGGAAGAAGCUGUAGUAGCUGCCCGCAGCAGCCUCUUGCUCAUGGCAAGGGCUCCAGCGGUGCUGCUGCUGCUGCUGGGUACACCCUCGCCUCCCACGCCGCAACCGUGGGGUGCUGGCAAUGGCUACACCAUCUCCGGUGAUCUGCUCAGGUUCCCUUCUUCCUCUUCUGCAUGCUCUCUAGGUUGGCUGCAGCUAUUUAGUGGUUGUCUCCUGUCCAGGACAUCAUAAAUAUAUUGGCCCUGUCUUGUUCUUUAGUACUAGUCCUACUCAUGCCUCCCCGAUGGACUUUGUUCAUCUUCAAGUUAUUUCUGUUUCCAAGUAAUUGUUUGCUUCUCAUUACGACAAUGCUUGUAGAAUGUAGAUACAUAUGAAUUCUCAAGCUUGUGUGUAGCUCAGUCAAGAUUUUGCUGUUGGCACCCUCAAGUUCGUCCCCCAUCU